rnacentral:ncRNA from 8 species
CACCACCAGGAGUGGAGCCUGCGGC